rnacentral:misc_RNA from 1 species
UCCGGUUUGUCACCGGCAGUCCCAUUAGAGUGCCCAACUGAAUGUAGCAACUAAUGGCAAGGGUUGCGCUCGUUGCGGGACUUAACCCAACAUCUCACGACACGAGCUGACGACAGCCAUGCAGCACCUGUGUUGCGGUUCCCUUUCGGGCACCGAGACAUCUCUAUGAGGUUCCGUACAUGUCAAGGGUAGGUAAGGUGGGGAUGACGUUGUGGAAGCAAGCU